rnacentral:lncRNA from 1 species
GUAGGCACAUUAGUCAAUAAGAGAUAAAAUUCAAAAGUAGAGAAUGGAGAGGAAAGAGCCGACCACUUCUCCACUCCACCAAUUUCCCCACCACACUCAAAGUAUCAGCACCAACACCAACCCCACCUCACCAAACAUCCCACUCCACCAACUCCAUUAUCUUUUGCUCCCCACCAAAUCCUUCUCCCUUCUUACUCAAUAGAUCGCCAGUGGAGCUGUUUAAGAAAAUCCAAUUCGUAUAUUCCAACAGAAUGUUUACAGCAAGCUCAUGCCAACAUCAAAACCAAGUUUCACACAGAAAAAAAAAACACCCGAAAUAACAUCUAUAAUCUCCGAGAUCUCCUUAUUCAAACAGUAUAUGCCAACAAAUUUUCACCAAGAAGAAGAAAAC